GUCGUCUGCAUUGAAUCUUUUUUGUGACUACUGGAAUAGACUUCACUUUUCCCUGGUCCAAAUUUUGAAGGAAAUUAGUUCAGUAGCCAGAUGGGUUUAGACACCAAGAAUUGAAGAAGCCGGAAAAAUGGAACAUCAGAGGAAAGCCAAAAGGAGUAAGCAAAGCCAGCCUAAAAGAGAAGCCAAGAAUGCUGCAAGCACUGGCAGUGCCAUAGAGGUGGAGUCGCCCCAGCCCUUUGGAGUUUGCAUCUUACCACAGUUUGCUCUAGGUUCUGGACAGAUGCAACUGGCAGGAGCCCAGUGGUAGUUCCACGGAAACAACUGUGAUCCAGCACCUCCAAUUUAGAUCUGCUGUGGCACUGAAAACCAAGUAUUAAAGAUUGCAAACCCAUGGAAGAGGCCUGGCUUCCUGAAUCACUGCUCUAAGGAAGACACCUGCCUUUCAGGAACACCCACCUUGGACUGUAGAAGAGCCAGCAAUAAACCUAUGCUUUGUCAAACCAUUGAGAUUUUGGCAUUUCUGCCACAGCA
rnacentral:lncRNA from 1 species